GUCGACAGCCAUGCCAUUCUGAACAAGCCCAAUGUCUGAUCUUGGAAGCUAAGCAGGGUCAGGCCUGGUUAGUAUUUAGAUGGGAGACCAUCUAGGAAGACCAAGUGCUGUAGGCG
rnacentral:rRNA from 1 species